UUACAGGUGUGAGCCAACAGUGCCUGGCUCUACAUAAAAUUGACCUAUAUAGAAAGGAGGUCACUAUCAAUGAUUGUUUGGGGACAAAUGGUGGAGACAUGAGGAAGUUGUGGGAAGAGGUGAAGUGAAGAAAUUAUAGAGGAAAAACUUGCUUAUCUUGAUUGUGAUAGUUUCAUGUGUGUGUAAAAUUGUAUAGGUGAAAUAUGCAUGUCAAUUACAUUUAUAUAAAGCAAGCUUUAAAAAAAGAAAUAGUUCAUUUCUUUGUGGUAAGAGUUUACUAUUACAUUUUCACCAAUUCAUGUCUAGAUAUAUUUCAACA